rnacentral:lncRNA from 1 species
GGCGAAUUGAGUGAAAUCGUCAUGGACAGAUACGGGGCAGACAGUUUCUCACUGAGAUACAUCAAGUUAGUGAACGCCUCUCUACACAUAACUUAGAUUUGCCGUCUCUUUUCUUUCAGCCCUGUGCCUUUUCCCUUACAAUGUGCUUCGUCCUCAGAUACAAACAGUUUCACACUACUUGAGAAGGAUCCAAAUAUGAGGACUCCCAAAGAGAAAAACGUGCCUUAUAAGAAAAUAGCAGGCUCUGAAUUGGAAGACUCUCCUUUAUCAGAUACUGCAAAGAAUGCACAGAGUAGUGUAUCCGGAGGGUCUCUGCUGGAGAAAAAGAGUGAUCCAUUCCAGAGAGAGCAAGAUCAGCUGGUGGACGAGUAGCUGAUAUUAGAAGCUCAUGGAGAAAAGCUGUCGAAACUGAAGUUAACAGAAGUUCAGAUGGGAUUCUAGUGGAUGCCAAAGCUGGAGACGUGUCGUCAGAGUCUUCAUCUACACUGCAUAAUCAGAGGGAAUUUAGCAUGGCUAUUUUUUCCCCAGAUUUUGAUGGGUCUUAUUUGCCUGAAGAGAAAGCUGUUCCAGAUCAGCUUACCAGUGUACCUC